rnacentral:rRNA from 1 species
GACGAACGCUGGCGGCGUGCCUAAUACAUGCAAGUUGAGCGCUGAAGGUUGGUACUUGUACCAACUGGAUGAGCAGCGAACGGGUGAGUAACGCGUGGGGAAUCUGCCUUUGAGCGGGGGACAACAUUUGGAAACGAAUGCUAAUACCGCAUAAAAACUUUAAACACAAGUUUUAAGUUUGAAAGAUGCAAUUGCAUCACUCAAAGAUGAUCCCGCGUUGUAUUAGCUAGUUGGUGAGGUAAAGGCUCACCAAGGCGAUGAUACAUAGCCGACCUGAGAGGGUGAUCGGCCACAUUGGGACGGAGACACGGCCCAAACUCCUACGGGAGGCAGCAGUAGGGAAUCUUCGGCAAUGGACGAAAGUCUGAGCGAGCAACGCCGAGUGAGGGAAGAAGGAUUUCGGAUCGGAAAACUCUGUUGGUAGAGAAGAACGUUGGUGAGAGUGGAAAGCUCAUCAAGUGACGGUAACUACCCAGAAAGGGACGGCUAACUACGUG